rnacentral:rRNA from 1 species
AUUGAACGCUGGCGGCAUGCCUUACACAUGCAAGUCGAACGGUAACAGGUCUUCGGAUGCUGACGAGUGGCGAACGGGUGAGUAAUACAUCGGAACGUGCCCGAUCGUGGGGGAUAACGAAGCGAAAGCUUUGCUAAUACCGCAUACGAUCUACGGAUGAAAGCAGGGGACCGCAAGGCCUUGCGCGAACGGAGCGGCCGAUGGCAGAUUAGGUAGUUGGUGGGAUAAAAGCUUACCAAGCCGACGAUCUGUAGCUGGUCUGAGAGGACGACCAGCCACACUGGGACUGAGACACGGCCCAGACUCCUACGGGAGGCAGCAGUGGGGAAUUUUGGACAAUGGGCGAAAGCCUGAUCCAGCCAUGCCGCGUGCAGGAUGAAGGCCUUCGGGUUGUAAACUGCUUUUGUACGGAACGAAAAGACUCUGGUUAAUACCUGGGGUCCAUGACGGUACCGUAAGAAUAAGCACCGGCUAACUACGUGCCAGCAGCCGCGGUAAUACGUAGGGUGCAAGCGUUAAUCGGAAUUACUGGGCGUAAAGCGUGCGCAGGCGGUUAUAUAAGACAGAUGUGAAAUCCCCGGGCUCAACCUGGGAACUGCAUUUGUGACUGUAUAGCUAGAGUACGGCAGAGGGGGGUGGAAUUCCGCGUGUAGCAGUGAAAUGCGUAGAUAUGCGGAGGAACACCGAUGGCGAAGGCAAUUCCCUGGGCCUGUACUGACGCUCAUGCACGAAAGCGUGGGGAGCAAACAGG